rnacentral:rRNA from 1 species
CCUACGGGUGGCAGCAGUAGGGAAUCUUCGGCAAUGGGGGGAACCCUGACCGAGCAACGCCGCGUGAACGAAGAAGUUAUUCGUAAUGUACAGUUCUUUUAACAGGGAAGAAAGAGAAAUUUGACGGUACCUGAAGAAUAAGCUCCGGCUAACUACGUGCCAGCAGCCGCGGUAAUACGUAGGGAGCGAGCGUUAUCCGGAAUUAUUGGGCGAAAAGGGUGCGUAGAUGGCAUAGUAAGUCUUGUGUAAAAAUGCUGGGCUAAACCCAGUAGGGCAAAAGAUACUGCAAAGCUAGAGUAUGACAGAGGCAAGUGGAACUACAUGUGUAGCGGUAAAAUGCGUAAAUAUAUGUAAGAACACCAGUGGCGAAGGCGGCUUGCUGGGUCGAUACUGACAUUGAGGCACGAAAGCGUGGGGAGCAAACAGGAUUAGAUACCCUAGUAGUC